ACUACGCUNGCGCGGCAGGCUUAACACAUGCAAGUCGAGCGGAAACGAUGGUAGCUUGCUACCAGGCGUGCGAGCGGCGGACGGGUGAGUAAUACUUAGGAAUCUACCUAGUAGUGGGGGAUAGCACGGGGAAACUCGUAUUAAUACCGCAUACGACCUACGGGAGAAAGGGGGCAGUUUACUGCUCUCGCUAUUAGAUGAGCCUAAGUCGGAUUAGCUAGAUGGUGGGGUAAAGGCCUACCAUGGCGACGAUCUGUAGCUGGUCUGAGAGGAUGAUCAGCCACACCGGGACUGAGACACGGCCCGGACUCCUACGGGAGGCAGCAGUGGGGAAUAUUGGACAAUGGGGGAAACCCUGAUCCAGCCAUGCCGCGUGUGUGAAGAAGGCCUUUUGGUUGUAAAGCACUUUAAGCAGUGAAGAAGACUCUUCGGUUAAUACCCGGAGACGAUGACAUUAGCUGCAGAAUAAGCACCGGCUAACUCUGUGCCAGCAGCCGCGGUAAUACAGAGGGUGCAAGCGUUAAUCGGAAUUACUGGGCGUAAAGCGAGCGUAGGUGGCUUGAUAAGUCAGAUGUGAAAUCCCCGGGCUUAACCUGGGAACUGCAUCUGAAACUGUCAGGCUAGAGUACGUGAGAGGGAAGUAGAAUUACACGUGUAGCGGUGAAAUGCGUAGAGAUCUGAUAGAAUACCGAUAGCGAUGGCAGCUACCUGGCAUCAUACUGACACUGAUGCGCGAUAGCGUGGGUAGCAACCAGGAAUAAGAUACCCCUGGUAGGUCCACGACCGCUAAACGAAUGUCUACCUAGNCGCUGGGGGUCGNUUGAGGACGUAGCUGACGCAGCUAA
rnacentral:rRNA from 1 species